GUGCACAUAGGCUUGGCUUGGAGCCACAAAUCUCACUCACUCACUCCCAAACCAAACACGUCAAGCAGACAGACAGAGCUCGAAAGAGCGAUCCCAUAAUAAAGAAAUUUACACGGAAGAAGAAGCACAAUGAAAGCAGAAGUUUCCAACUCACGAUCGUUGGGGUCAGUGUCCGCAGCAGUGAAGAUCCGUCCACCAGGCCAAAUGCAGCAGCAGGCCAGAAGCAGCAGCCGCCGCGCCACAUCCCCCACCCCGCCACCGCCUCCGCUCUUCCUUAUCGCCAUCCCGCACAGCAAUGCUCCCUCCCUGACGGGGACUGUUGCAAGUGAAGUGCUUUUUGGGCCGGGAGGAGUUUCCUUGUUUAUUCGACUCCUCCAAAUCCGACUGAUUUUACCCGCUGUUUUUUACAGAUCACGCUGCCGCUUUUCAAGACGGAUGGAUGGAUUCAUGGAUAGCGUGUGCGGCGUCCGCGCAUUGGAAGCUAGCACAGCAGCAGCUGGCAGCAGAACGCCGGGACAAGAACCCGGGUGCGGUGAGGUCAAUUGCUUUGCCUGCCUUUGGCAGAAAAUCCGGUAAUUAUUCUGGCAUUAUUUGCUUAUUUAAAAACAUGAAAGAAAAUCUCGAUCAAUUCAAUUUCUCUGUUUAUCAUCGCUGCGAUUCCUCCGUCAUAAUUAAAUAAUACUCUGCAUGCUCUAGGUCAUAUGAAUGACAAUCAGGACCGGCUCGGGA
rnacentral:misc_RNA from 1 species